AGGGCCCACAGAAUCGUACAAAGGUAGGUUGGGUUUAGAACACCAGUAUUUAUGCUGAACUCUUUGUGAUUGAUUCUAGUUAUAUACACUGGUGGUUAGUGGAAUGAUAUGAUUAUAUAUUGGGUUCAAGUUGUUUGAUGUAAUUUAAUCCUUGUUGGAGUUUGUCAUAACAAUUACUAGGCUGUAUUUACUUUUAUGUUGCAGUUCCAGUAGAAUGACUUGUUAGCUAUUUCACAAAUUGAUUCAUGGAGUGUGUCG
rnacentral:misc_RNA from 1 species